rnacentral:miRNA from 1 species
AGGUGGGAGGAUGACUUGAGCCCAGGAGUUGGAGGUUGCAGUGAGCUGUGAUGACGCCACUGCACUCUAGCCAGGGCAAAAGAGUUGAGAUCCUGUUUC